rnacentral:rRNA from 1 species
CACGUAGGGGACGAGCGUUGUCCGGAUUCAUUGGGCGUAAAGCGCGCGUAGGCGGCUCGGAAAGUCGGUCGUGAAAUGCCGGGGCUCAACCCCGGGACUGCGUCCGAUACUUCCGGGCUGGAGGUAGGUAGGGGGAGAUCGGAAUUCCUGGUGUAGCGGUGAAAUGCGCAGAUAUCAGGAGGAACACCGGUGGCGAAGGCGGGUUGCUGGGCUGAUACUGACGCUGAGGCGCGAAAGCCAGGGGAGCAAACGGG